UCCUACGGGAGGCAGCAGUGGGGAAUAUUGGACAAUGGGCGAAAGCCUGAUCCAGCCAUGUCGCAUGAGUGAAGAAGGCCUUUGGGUUGUAAAGCUCUUUUAGUGAGGAAGAUAAUGACGGUACUCACAGAAGAAGUCCUGGCUAACUCCGUGCCAGCAGCCGCGGUAAUACAA
rnacentral:rRNA from 1 species